AAUGAACGCUGGCGGCGUGCCUAAUACAUGCAAGUCGAGCGACCACACGAGGAGCUUGCUCCUCUGCCGUUAGCGGCGGACGGGUGAGUAACACGUGGAUCACCUACCUAUAAGACUGGGGUAACUUCGGGAAACCGCAUCUACUACCGGCUCAUAUAUUCUACCGCAUGGUUCAAUAGUUCUAGACGCUUUUCCUGUCACUUAUAGCUGGAUCCGUGUCGGAUUAGCUAGUUGGUAAGGUAAAGGCCUACCAAGGCAACGAUGCGUAGCCGACCUGAGAGGAUGAUCAGCCACACUGGAACUGAGACACGGUCCAGACUCCUACGGGAGGCAGCAGUAGGGAAUAUUGCGCAAUGGGCGAAAGCCUGAUGGAGCAAUGCCGCGUGAGUGAUGAAGGUCUUCGGAUCGUAAAACUCUGUUAUUAGGGAAGAACAAAAGUGGAAGAAACCACGCAUGUCUUGACGGUACCUAAUGAGAAAGCCACGGCUAACUACGUG
rnacentral:rRNA from 1 species